AUGGCUUCCCUUACUAUGCUUGUCGGUUGGGCCAUCUGGAAUGAGAGGAAUGCUAGAGUUUUUAGGAAGAAAUCAACGCCCCCCUUCUACAUUCUAAAACUAAUCCAAGAUGAAGCCAAACUUUGGAUCACGGCAGGAGCUAGGCACCUGAGCAUUAUCAUGCCGCGAGAGUAG
rnacentral:rRNA from 1 species